rnacentral:rRNA from 1 species
UUGGUAGCGUACGGCCUACCAGGAGACGAUCGGAAGCUGGUCUGAGAGGAUGACCAGCCACACUGGAACUGAGACACGGUCCAGACUCCUACGGGAGGCAGCACUGGGGAAUAUUGGACAAUGGGGGCAACCCUGAUCCAGCAAUGCCGCGUGUGUGAAGAACGCCUGAGGGUUGUAAAGCACUUUCAGUGGGGAGGAGGAUUGUUUGUUUACGAAAUGACUGAUUGCACGUUACUCACAUGAAACUGACCGGCUCACUCACUGCGAUCAUGCGCGGUAUGACUGACGGUGAAAGCUUUAAACGUAAUUACUGGGCGUAAAGGGUGCGUAGGUGGUUAUGUAAGUUAUGUGUGAAAUCCCUGGGCUCAACCUGGGCAGGUCAUAUAAUACUGCGUGACUCGAGUGUGGGAGAGGGUAGUGGAAUUUCCGGUGUAGCGGUGAAAUGCCUAUAGAUCGGAAGGAACACCACUGUCGAAAGCGGCUACCUGUCCUAUCACUGACACUUUAGCACGAAAACGUGAGGAGCCAACAAGAUUAUAUACCCUGGUAUUCCACACCUUAAAUCGAAGCCGGCUAAGCUGUUGGCUUUGAAAUAAUAAUAAUU